ACAUUAAAGCUAGCCUGUCCACCUACCUUAAACCCAACAUUAUUACUCUACCUAACUCGUAAGCUCCUAACUAAAACAUUUUAUCUCUUUAGUAUGGGCGACAGAACAAAAACUCAGCGCAAUAGACUAUGUACCGCAAGGGAGAGCUGAAAGAGAAAUGAAACAAAUAAUUAAAGUAAGAAAAAGCAGAGAUUCUACCUCGUACCUUUUGCAUCAUGAUUUAGCUAGAAAAACUAGACAAAGAGAUCUUUAGCCUACCUUCCCGAAACUAAACGAGCUACUCCGAAGCAGCACAACUUAGAGCCAACCCGUCUCUGUGGCAAAAGAGUGGGAAGACUUCCGAGUAGCGGUGACAAGCCUAUCGAGUUUAGUGAUAGCUGGUUGUCCAAGAAAAGAACUUCAAUUCUGCACUAAUUCUUUCAUCACCAAAAAGUCUACCAUACCAGGGCUAAAAAUAUAAGAAUUAGUAGUUAUUCAGAAGAGGUACAGCCCUUCUGAAUCAAGAUACAACUUUCAAAGGAGGGAAAUGAUCAUAUUUACCAAGGUUCUCACCUCAGUGGGCCCAAAAGCAGCCACCUGUAAAGUAAGCGUCACAGCUCCAGUCUCACAAAAACCUAUAAUUUAGAUAAUCUUCUCAGCACCCCCUUAACUUUAUUGGACUAUUUUAUAAACUUAUAAAAGAAAUUAUGCUAAAAUGAGUAAUAGGAGGACAAACCUCUCCCCGACACAAGUGUAUGUCAGAAAGAAUUAAUUCACUGACAAUUAUACGAACCCAGACUGAGGUUAUUAUACCUUAUUUUACCUUAACUAGAAAAUCUUAUUAUAACAUUCGUUAACCCUACACAGGAGUGUCUUAAGGAAAGAUUAAAAGAAAGUAAAGGAACUCGGCAAACACGAACUCCGCCUGUUUACCAAAAACAUCGCCUCUUGGAACUCAUAAGAGGUCCCGCCUGCCCUGUGACAAUGUUUAACGGCCGCGGUAUUCUGACCGUGCAAAGGUAGCGUAAUCACUUGUCUUUUAAAUGAAGACCCGUAUGAAAGGCAUCACGAGAGUUCAACUGUCUCUAUUUUCUAAUCAAUGAAAUUGAUCCACCCGUGCAGAAGCGGGUAUAAUCACAUUAGACGAGAAGACCCUAUGGAGCUUCAAACACAUGAAUUAAUUAUGUAGACUAACUACCCCACGGGUAUAAACAAAAAUACAACACUUUUAAUUUAACUGUUUUGGUUGGGGUGACCAAGGGGAAAAACAAAUCCCCCUUAUCGACCGAGUGCUCUCAAACACUUAAAAAUUAGAAUUACAAUUCUAAUUAAUAAAACAUUUACCGAAAAAUGACCCAGGAUUUCCUGAUCAAUGAACCAAGUUACCCUAGGGAUAACAGCGCAAUCCUUUCUCAGAGUCCCUAUCGACGAAAGGGUUUACGACCUCGAUGUUGGAUCAGGACAUCCUAAUGAUGCAGCCGUUAUUAAGGGUUCGUUUGUUCAACGAUUAACAGUCCUACGUGAUCUGAGUUCAGACCGGAGAAAUCCAGGUCAGUUUCUAUCUAUGAAUUUAUUUUUCCUAGUACGAAAGGACCGGAAAAAUGAAGCCAAUGCCCCAGGCACGCUUCAUUUCCAUCUAUUGAAAUAAACUAAAAUAGAUAAGAAAAAGCCAACCACCACCCAAGAAAAGGGUUG
rnacentral:rRNA from 1 species